rnacentral:rRNA from 1 species
UACGUAGGGCGCAAGCGUUGUCCGGAUUUAUUGGGCGUAAAGGGCUCGUAGGCGGUUUGUCGCGUCGGGAGUGAAAACUCAGGGCUUAACCCUGAGCCUGCUUCCGAUACGGGCAGACUAGAGGUAUGCAGGGGAGAACGGAAUUCCUGGUGUAGCGGUGAAAUGCGCAGAUAUCAGGAGGAACACCGGUGGCGAAGGCGGUUCUCUGGGCAUUACCUGACGCUGAGGAGCGAAAGUGUGGGGAGCGAACAGG